rnacentral:rRNA from 1 species
CAGUCGCCGCGGUAAUACGGAGGAUCCAAGCGUUAUCCGGAAUCAUUGGGUUUAAAGGGUCCGUAGGCGGUCUUGUAAGUCAGUGGUGAAAGCCCAUCGCUCAACGGUGGAACGGCCAUUGAUACUGCAGGACUUGAAUUAUUGGGAAGUAACUAGAAUAUGUAGUGUAGCGGUGAAAUGCUUAGAGAUUACAUGGAAUACCAAUUGCGAAGGCAGGUUACUACCAAUUGAUUGACGCUGAUGGACGAAAGCGUGGGUAGCGAACAGGAUUAGAUACCCCGGUAGUCCCUGUCUCUUAUAA